CAGUCGCCGCGGGAAUACGAAGGGUGCAAGCGUUACUCGGAAUUACUGGGCGUAAAGCGUGCGUAGGUGGUGGUUUAAGUCCGUUGUGAAAGCCCUGGGCUCAACCUGGGAAUUGCAGUGGAUACUGGGUCACUAGAGUGUGGUAGAGGAUAGUGGAAUUUCCGGUGUAGCAGUGAAAUGCGUAGAGAUCUGGAGGAAUACCGGUGGCGAAGGCGACUAUCUGGGCCAACACUGACACUGAGGCACGAAAGCGUGGGGAGCAAACAGGAUUAGAUACCCCCGUAGUCCCUGUCUCUUAUAC
rnacentral:rRNA from 1 species